GGUAAGGUGGCCGAGUGGUUAUGGGUAUGUCCUCCUAAACAACCUCUUGACGAUCGAAUCAGCUUCUAACACUUAGUAGCGUGUGACUCAAGUUGAUAUAAUCAUCUUGCUUGGCAAUACAAGCGCAUUCUCAUGGGCUUAUGCCCGCGGGGGUUCGAAUCCCCCCCUUAUCA
rnacentral:tRNA from 1 species